AUCUUGUCCUCAACUGAAAUAGGAGGUGUACAUCAUGUAUGAGGGCUUACUUGUGCACCCACACUGGAACUGAUUCCAUUUGUGAUUCUGUAGAAAUUGCUGCUUUGAAGAUGACUCUUAAGAGUGAGGCACACGCAGAAAAGGAACCCAAUUGCUACAUUUGAGGAUGUGAGACUGGAUGACACACACCAAGAGAAGACACGAGCACAAAUAUGGGAGUGAACAUCGCUGAAUAUAAAAAGUCUGGUGUACAAUAGUUAAUAAAUCAGCAUGGACCCUACCAACAAAGGAAGAAGCUGUGCAAGGUCUCUGCCCACCUUUUCCAUGGUCAGGUACAGCCUCAGGCAGCCUUAUCUGCAGAAGUCUGAUAGGAAGCACAACUCAAUACAAUGAGCCAAAAGAACAUUCAACCUACAGUAUUUAUGUUUUAGUUUUGUUCAGACAGAGGCUACAGUUGUUAAUUUUUCUCCAUUAAAGAAAGUACCUCUACAGUUUCCUUUCAAGAUGUUCCUUAACUUACCUUGCAUUUGUGAAAGGAUCUUAUUUGGAAAUAAUUAGAACCUGAGGAAGCAAGCAAACACUUCAGUGGACAAUGCUAGUCUUUAAACCAGGGUCCAUCAUAACCUCUGUUAGGAGAAUCUGGUUGUGCAAUGGAGCAUCCGAAGCUGUCCGUCCCUGGCUCUCUGUACAGUCCAAUAAUAACCUUAACAUUAGAAGAAACUUUAGAAAAUUUCCACUGAGUCAUGAGUCAACUAAAUAACAAAACAAGAUGCCCCUGUGCAUUUUGGGGAGCUUCAUCUAUGGCCAUUCAUGUUUCUGACCCACAUCUCUGAUUAAAAAAAAAAAGACAAAAUACUGAUAUGCAAAGGUUGCCUACACCUGUGAAAACUAAUUUGCUUGCAAAGUGUUACAGCUAUAGAUUUUUUUCCCUUUCCCUCAAAUAAUUUUCUUUGCUUUUUGUUAUGAACCCACCCUAGUCAAUGGAAGCAUC
rnacentral:lncRNA from 1 species